rfam:Ovis aries breed Texel chromosome 11, whole genome shotgun sequence.
CCCUUGAUGGUCCACUUGUUAGGACUCUGUGCUUCCAAUGCAGGGGACACAGGUUCAAUCCCUGGUCAGGGAA